ACUGCGAAUGGCUCAUUAAAUCAGUUAUCGUUUAUUUGAUAGUACUUCACUACAUGGACAACUGUGGUAAUUCUAGAGCUAAUACAUGCUAAAAACCCCGACUCCGGGAGGGGUGUAUUUAUUAGAUAAAAAACCAACGCCCUCCGGGGCUCCUUGGUGAAUCAUAAUAACUUAACGAAUCGCAUGGCCUUGAGCCGGCGAUGGUUCAUUCAAAUUUCUGCCCUAUCAACUUUCGAUGGUAGGAUAGUGGCCUACCAUGGUCUCAACGGGUAACGGGGAAUUAGGGUUCGACUCCGGAGAGGGAGCCUGAGAAACGGCUACCACAUCCAAGGAAGGCAGCAGGCGCGCAAAUUACCCAAUCCCGACACGGGGAGGUAGUGACAAUAAAUACUGAUACAGGGCUCUUUCGGGUCUUGUAAUUGGAAUGAGUACAAUUUAAAUCCCUUAACGAGGAACAAUUGGAGGGCAAGUCUGGUGCCAGCAGCCGCGGUAAUUCCAGCUCCAAUAGCGUAUAUUAAAGUUGUUGCAGUUAAAAAGCUCGUAGUUGAACCUUGGGCCUGGCUGGCCGGUCCGCCUCACCGCGUGUACUGGUCCGGCCGGGCCUUUCCUUCUGGGGAACCACAUGGCCUUCACUGGCCGUGUCGGGGAACCAGGACUUUUACUUUGAAAAAAUUAGAGUGUUCAAAGCAGGCCUUUGCUCGAAUACAUUAGCAUGGAAUAAUAGAAUAGGACGUGCGGUUCUAUUUUGUUGGUUUCUAGGACCGCCGUAAUGAUUAAUAGGGACAGUCGGGGGCAUCCGUAUUCAAUUGUCAGAGGUGAAAUUCUUGGAUUUAUUGAAGACGAACUACUGCGAAAGCAUUUGCCAAGGAUGUUUUCAUUAAUCAGUGAACGAAAGUUAGGGGAUCGAAGACGAUCAGAUACCGUCGUAGUCUUAACCAUAAACUAUGCCGACUAGGGAUCGGUGGGUGUUAUUAUUUUGACCCCAUCGGCACCUUACGAGAAAU
rnacentral:rRNA from 1 species